rnacentral:rRNA from 1 species
AUUGAACGCUGGCGGCGUGCUUAACACAUGCAAGUCGAACGAGCGGCGGACGGGUGAGUAAUGUAUGGGAAUCUGGCUUAUGGACGGGGAUAACUACUGGAAACUGUAGCUAAUACCGCUUACCAUCGGAUGAGCCCACGUGGGAUUAGGUAGUCGGUGAGGUAAAGGCUCACAAAGGCGACGCUCGCUAGCUGGUCUGAGAGGAUGACCAGCCACACUGGGACGGAGACACGGCCCAGACUCCUACGGGAGGCAGCAGUGGGGAAUAUUGGGCAAUGGAGGCAAGCUGAUGCAGCAAUGCCGCGUGAAUGAAGAAGGCCUUCGGGUUGUAAAGUUCUUUCGGUAGGGAGGCGUUAACUACAGAAGAAGCACCGGCUAACUCCGUGCCAGCAGCCGCGGUAAUAC